rnacentral:rRNA from 1 species
UACGAGGGGGGCAAGCGUUUGUUCGGAAUUAUUGGGCGUAAAGGGUGCGUAGGCGGUCUGACAAGUCUGAUGUGAAAUCUAUGGGCUCAACCCAUAGCCUGCAUCGGAAACUGUCGGGCUUGAGUAUGGGAGAGGUGAGUGGAAUUCCCGGGUGUAGCGGUGAAAUGCGUAGAUAGUCGGGAGGAACACCUGUGGCGAAAGCGGCUCACUGGACCAUAACUGACGCUGAUGGCACGAAAAGCUGGGGGGAGCAAACAGG